UAUAAAGGCUGUAACUGAAACAGGGGACAUUAACAAUUUGUACAGUAUCCACAGAGAACCCCAGCCAAGAUACCUUAACUUCCAGAUACAACACACACAUUUACAGACUCAACAUCAUUGAUGUCAUCCAAGUUUUACAGUACACACACAGUUUCUAGGGAAACAGAUGCUUAUCUGUUCUCUUCUGAGUCAGUCCUCAACUUCUGUAACAUACUUUUAGGUUUCUAACAUCUUAAAUCAGCCAUUUUCUGUUACUCUUAUUUAGGCUCUGGGAAAGGCUUUGCUGACAGGUAUUGACUGAUAAAUGCCCACCACCCUCUGCUGGCCAUGUGGAACCACUCUAAGCUCAACCAUAAACCCUCAAACAAGCAGAUUUUGAAGCUGAAUGAGUGGAUCAUGACACUAAAUAAAUUACUAGGUUUAUUCAAAGGCACUUAUACAAUAUUAACUUUGAAAUCUCCCUGGAGGUUUCAAAUACCACACACUGUUCAAAAGACCAUUAAUUUCUAAAUGCCAUCCAAAAUGUCUCUCCUGAACACACGGCAGAUGACAUCAGCCUGAACAAGAUCUUCGAGCACUUAGGGCUGAAGGCAAAUCAACUGAGCAGUCAACAAGAUGCAAGCCACCAAUUUGUUCUGAUUUUCAGUCUUACACGUGAUGGACUAAAUUUGCAUUUGGCAUACAGCAGCCUAAAUGAAACUCACUUUGGAUGACUGCAGAGGCUGUUUAUCCAUCCUCUCUGGUGAUGCUUUGCACCUCCAUCACAGGUUCUAAACUGCAUUCCUCCGAUGCCCAUGGAAGGAUUGCCAUCAAUUUAACAGGGCUUGGAAUUAGGCCCAGAACAGAUAACUACGUGAAGCAAUGACAGUGGGAUUUAUUUACACAUUUUUGACCUGUCCACAAACUGUAGAGUAAAUCAGGAAUGCUGCAGUGUACUUAAAAGAGAAAAAGGAAAAAAUAAAGAGACCAAAGCAUAAAACCCCAAAA